rnacentral:rRNA from 1 species
CCUACGGUGAGCAGCAGUGAGGAAUAUUGGUCAAUGGCCGGACGGCUGAACCAGCCAAGCCGCGUGAAGGACGAAGGUGCCAAGCAUUGUAAACUUCUUUUGUCAAGGGACAAACUCAGGCUCGAGAGCCUUGCCGAGGGUACUUGAAGCCAAAGAAUCGGCUAACUCCGUGCCAGCAGCCGCGGUAAUACGGAGGAUGCGAGCGUUCUCCGGAUUUAUUGGGUUUAAAGGGUGCGUAGGCGGACUGUUAAGUCAGCGGUAAAAGCCCGGGGCGCAACCCCGGCGAGCCGUUGAAACUGGCUGUAGUGAGAUGUCGAGAGGUAUGCGGAAUGCGCAGUGUAGCGGUGAAAUGCUUAGAUAUUGCGCAGAACUCCGAUUGCGAAGGCAGCAUACCGGCGGCGAUCUGACGCUGAGGCACGAAAGCGUGGGUAUCGAACAGGAUUAGAUACCCUGGUAGUC